ACUAUUUUGGCAGAUAAUAUGUGCUAGAUUUAGGAUUUAGUUAAAUAGAGUAAUUCUAUAAAUAGUA
rnacentral:tRNA from 1 species